CAAAACAAAGCUACUUUCGGUUUGAAAUACUGCAGAUAUGCACUAUACUAUUAAUACUACUUUAAGCCACUCGGUAUAUUUAAACAACAGUUGGGUUCAAUUUAAAGGCUACAUUUGACGCGAUGAUAUCAUUCCGGCUGAGGAAUGAACACUGCGGACAAGAGUAAAAAGCUUCUCUGGACGCAACAUCAUGGUAACUAUAGCAUACAUGAUCAAUCACGUGGGCCAGCUUUGCAGUCAGAAAGUUUCACUGCGCAGUGUACAGCUGAGAUUACAGGAAACAGUGAUGCGGCAGGAGUUUCAUGGCAAGAACAAAAUUGUCAGUCUAUUAAACAACAAAGGUGUGAAGUUCUAAACGACCAAACCCCAAACGAGGAUACUGGGAAAAUAUCGGAAAUGGAAGUACAAUGUGAAGCUCGCGAGGACGAUAUUUGU